UGUGUCCACGGUGAUCCCUCAGAUCCUUGGCUUAAAAUUCCUCUUCUCAUUCCAUGCAGAGGCUCACAGAAGGGUUCUGGAGGGACAUGGAACUGGGGCAGGUGCAGGGGGUACAGGAGGUGGUUCUUCUCAGUACUGGGAAGCUUGGGCAAAAUGGUGGGCAGUAGGCCAUGUGUGGUGGCCCACACCUGUAAUCCCAGCACUUUGGGAGGCCGAGGUGGGCGGAUCACGAGGUCAGAAGAUCGAGACCAUCCUGGCUAACACGGUGAAACCCCGUGUCUACUAAAAAUACAAAAAAUUAGCCGGGCGUGGUGGCGGGCGCCUGUAGUCCCAGCUACUCAGGAGGCUGAGGCAGGAGAAUGGCAUGAACUUGGGAGGCGGAGAUCGCGCCACUGCACUCCAGCCUGGGCGACAGAGCAAGACUCCGUCUCAAAAAAAAAAAAAAAAAAAAAAAAAACAUCAAAGCAGAGCUUGGGAAAGGUGAGAGCUACGCAAUGGGGUGGAUGGGCAUCCUGAGGCUUAAAGGAAACUCACAGCCCGGCAAAAGGCUCCUCCCUUUUGCCCAUUCACCCUGGCUGGCCUGCCUUUCUCUUGCCAGAUGAAGUUGGGAAGGGUAACAACCACUGCGUCCCCUGCAAGGCAGGGCACUUCCAGAAUACCUCCUCCCCCAGCGCCCGCUGCCAGCCCCACACCAGGUGUGAGGACCAAGGUCUGGUGGAG
rnacentral:sRNA from 1 species